CAAUAAGCUAACUGUGAGUUAAGACUGAAGUUGUUUCCAAGUAGGAUUACCAUGAAGUUAAUGCAUUUAAGCUCCAGAGUCCCUCACUUGGACAAGCCCUUUUAAAGGCUGUGAAUACUUAAAGGAAGGAAUUCUUACCUGCCCUGAAUAUGAAGAUUUGUAGAAAUAAACAAUGAACUAUGGUUGCUAUGAAAAUUUCUUUGUCUGAAUAAAAAAUUCACUUGUAGAUAUAUUUUAA